rnacentral:rRNA from 1 species
UACGUAGGGUGCAAGCGUUGUCCGGAAUUAUUGGGCGUAAAGAGCUCGUAGGCGGUCUGUCGCGUCUGCUGUGAAAACUCAGGGCUUAACCCUGAGCUUGCAGUGGGUACGGGCAGACUAGAGUGCGGUAGGGGGAGACUGGAAUUCCUGGUGUAGCGGUGAAAUGCGCAGAUAUCGGGAGGAACACCGGUGGCGAAGGCGGUUCUCUGGGCCUGUACUGACGCUGAGGAGCCGAAAGCGUGGGGAGCGAACAGG